CCUGUCCCGGGACACGGAGCACGAAGGCGGCAGCAGCAGCGGGAGCUGCAGGCAGGGGACACCGGAGCUGCCUUGGCCGAGCGGGGCCCGGGGCAGAUUCUGUAGGGGCCAAAAUGAACAUUUUGGGGUGAAAUGUGAAUUAAUGUGCAGGGGCCAGAAUGCACAGUUUGGGGUAAGGAUGAAGUGGUCGAUGCUCUCCGGAGGGACCAGCUCGGGCUGGCUCUGUGUUGCUGUGAAUAAUUUGCUUUAUGGAACGAGACACCUGAGACUGCAGCGGGAAUCCAGGGCUGGAGCCGGGAAGGAAACCUGGUCUGACCGCGGGAAGGGGAGCGGGGGUCAGGCGGGGCCCCCGUCGGUCACUGGAGCCGCCGCCGUGAAAGCGACGUCCAAGAACAUCCCAAAGGGCCUCCUCACCCUCAUGGACAGCAGGAAUGUCUUCCAUGGCUCCUGCUUGGGAAUGGCACUGGCUGUUGGCAGCUCUGGCAGGAGCACCUGGAGACCAGGGUGAGGAAGCCAGGCCUGGCGAGGAGGAGGAUGAGGAGGUGUGGGAGGAUGGAGACAGCGGCCACCAAAGGCUGGGGAAGGCCCAGCUCCAGGAAUUUUCCUGGGCAUAUUUGAGAGUAAUCCCAAGAAUUUUGAAAUAGUUGAAAAACAGAGGGGGAAAACUGCGAAGCUGAUCCAUUUGUGGUAAUUCCAAACUUCUCCCACGGCACCAUUCUGGGGGAAACCUGGUUAGGGGACAAAGAUUCAGAGGAACAAAUACUGUAAACUCCCCUGGGCUGUCCAGCAGAGCAAACCUUCCAGUAAUCCCAGCUGAUGUCUCUGAGAAACUGUGGGAUCAUAAGGAUUUGCAGGAAAGCUAAACUAGGACAGAGAUGAGGGAAUAAGCUUCCAAUUUAAUAAUGAUUUGAUGGAUGAAAGAAUGAUUCUUGUAUGUUGGAUGCUUUGUUUUAGACAUCUGAAUAUUUUUGAAAUGGUUCAUUUAAUAAAUCAUCUAAAUUUGGGAAUUUAAAUUUGAGAGGAAACAACACAAAAUGAAUGCAGGGAGAGACUGGAAUCAUCCUGGAACGGUUUGGGCUGGAAGCCUCAUCUCCGAACCUGUCCUGGGCUGGCUCCUGUCCUUCAGCCACUCGCUGCAGGUGGACGUGGAAGUGAUGGAGAUGUGCAGGGAAUGCUGCUUGGUUUUCCCUGCCUCUGGCAAUCUGGCCAUUCAAAAGACCAAUUGACCUCUUCCAGCAGG